rnacentral:rRNA from 1 species
CCUACGGGAGGCAGCAGUAGGGAAUCUUCGGCAAUGGACGAAAGUCUGACCGAGCAACGCCGCGUGAGUGAAGAAGGUUUUCGGAUCGUAAAACUCUGUUGGCAGAGAAGAACGUUGGUGAGAGUGGAAAGCUCAUCACGUCACGGUAACUACCCAGAAAGGCACGGCUAAGUACGUGCCAGCGGCCGCGGUAAUAGGCGGGUCCCGAGAGUAGUCCGGAUUUAUUGGGCGAAAGGCGAUCGCAGGGGGGUUAUUAAGUCUGGUGGAAAGGGCAGUGGCUCAACCAGUGUAUGCAUUGGGAACUGGGUGGCUUGAGUGCAGGAGAGGAGAGUGGAAUUCCAUGUGUAGCGGUGAAAUGCGUAGAUAUAAGGAGGAACACCGGUGGCGAAGGCGGCUCGCUGGCCUGUAACUGACAUUGAGGCUCGAAAGCGUGGGGAGCAAACAGGAUUAGAUACCCCAGUAGUC